rnacentral:rRNA from 1 species
CACGUAGGCGGAUCGGAAAGUUGGGGGUGAAAUCCCGGGGCUCAACCCCGGAACGGCCUCCAAAACUAUCGGUCUAGAGUUCGAGAGAGGUGAGUGGAAUUCCGAGUGUAGAGGUGAAAUUCGUAGAUAUUCGGAGGAACACCAGUGGCGAAGGCGGCUCACUGGCUCGAUACUGACGCUGAGGUGCGAAAGUGUGGGAGCAAACA